GGCCCAGAUCGUUUACCGUGAAAAAAUUAGAGUGUUCAAAGCAGGCAGAUUCAACUUUCUGCCACCGAAUACAUUAGCAUGGGAUAAUGGAAUAGGACCCUGUCCUCCUAUUUUCAGUUGGUUUUUGAGGACCAGGGUAAUGAUUAAUAGGGAUAGUUGGGGGCAUUAAUAUUUAAUUGUCAGAGGUGAAAUUCUUGGAUUUAUGAAAGAUUAACUUCUGCGAAAGCAUCUGCCAAGGAUGUUUUCAUUAAUCAAGAACGAAAGUUAGGGGAUCGAAGACGAUCAGAUACCGUCGUAGUCUUAACCAUAAACGAUGCCGACCAGCGAUUAGGAGACGUUGAAUACAAAACACCACCAUCGGCGCGGUCGUCCUUGGCGUGUCUCGGCUUCACGGCCGGGGCGCGCGAGGGCGGUUUAGCCCGGUGGCACCGGUGAAUGACUCCCCUAGCAGCUUGUGAG
rnacentral:rRNA from 1 species